UUGUAUUUUAAUUAGAGUCGGGGUUUCACCAUGUUGCGUAGGCUGCUCUUGAACUCCUGACCUACUUUUGUCGGUUGUUUUCGUAUCAGAUAUACCCAGGGAUAGAGGUAUUACUCUGUUUUCUUCUAACAACAAGAAGUGAAGAUAAUGGGUGCCUAAUAAAUGCAAAUAUAAGGUCAUUUCUGUAGCACAGAAAAAUCUUUUGUGUUUAUCAACAUUCAUGAUUUUUCUUGUUACCUAUGUAUUAUAACUACUUUACUAUAUACACAGAUAUAUUGUCAAUCACAUCUAUAUGAAUUGUGGAUAUGACUUACUUGAUUAUUCUACCUUAAUUUAUAAGGAAUGACUAUCUCAGGAAGCAUGACUAGAAAGCAGAUGUAGUUGAAGUCAAUGUUUUCUCUGACUUCAGUUUGAAAUGGAACAUCAAGAAGUAUGUAUUAAACAUCUGCUAUGUGAUAGGCACUGUACUAAUUGAUAUUUUAUUUCUAUGGAUAGUGGCCUUUCCAGGGGUAUUCCUGUGGGAGGGGAGGGGGAUAAGGAAGGGAAGAGGCUCAAAUGAUUCUACCUGCUGUUCCCAUGGUUAUUGGUCUGGUUAUCCAGCACACUGGUGAAAAGGUGGAGGUCUUGCUCAUAUUUGUGGUACAGUUUUUUUGGCUUUUCUGUCUUGCUUCUCUAGAGUAUCUCUGUUAGGGCACUUGUUAACUAAAUAUUUCACAUCUGGUCUUCUGAACGUCUUCAGUCUUUGGUGUUUACAGUACUUCUUAUGAAGUUAUAAAUUUUACUUUCUUUGCAGGUGUCAUUUAUGCAAUAUGUUUUGGACUCAAUUUUUUUUAAAACUUACAAACUUCCAAUAAUCCAACGAAAGUGCCAGAAUAAGGCCAUUUCUGGUAAAUUGAAGAGCUUCCUGGUAUUUCAAGCAAUCCAGGUAAGAGACACAGAAAACUGUAAAUGAUGCAAAAACAGCUGAACUGAAUAUGAGAGAUGUUCAAGAGGUGCCAGGAUCUAUUUUUGUCAUCACCAGCCAGGAAGGAUACAAGGCCUCUUCCAAGAUGAAGACGAAACUAUUGACAGAUAUUUUGUCAAGACCAAAUUUUCCCUAAGGGCCCUGUCAUAGAUUGUUCCCUGGGCAGGAUGCAGCCUCCUUCAGAGAGUGAAGAACACACCAAAAGAUCCUCUACUAAAUUAAUCAUAAGCCACAUGAGGCAGGCUGGAAUACAGUUACCAAUCUGCUUUAAUUCUCCCACUUAGAUGGCCUGAAGCCGCCUGAACUGAAAGUUGGAUGAAGCUCGGCUUUGAGUUUCAUCGCGGGGCAUCGUGUGGCCUAAGUCCUUAGCCAAUGCCUGCCAAAUAUUAGCUUGAGUCGCAAUAAAGAGAAAAGGUCCAAAUUCUC
rnacentral:lncRNA from 1 species